UUUUUUUUUUCUUUUGGUCAUUGUUCCAAAAGCUGAGGUCAUUUUUGCAAGUAAGGAAAUACAGUUUGGAUCUAGCAUCUUUGAUCCUGUAUGCCUAUCAGCUUAGUACAGCUCUUGCAUAUCUAGAGAGCAAAAGAUUUGUACACAGGGACAUUGCUGCUCGGAAUGUUCUGGUGUCCUCAAAUGAUUGUGUAAAAUUAGGAGACUUUGGAUUAUCCCGAUAUAUGGAAGAUAGUACUUACUACAAAGCUUCCAAAGGAAAAUUGCCUAUUAAAUGGAUGGCUCCAGAGUCAAUCAAUUUUCGACGUUUUACCUCAGCUAGUGACGUAUGGAUGUUUGGUGUGUGUAUGUGGGAGAUACUGAUGCAUGGUGUGAAGCCUUUUCAAGGAGUGAAGAACAAUGAUGUAAUCGGUCGAAUUGAAAAUGGGGAAAGAUUACCAAUGCCUCCAAAUUGUCCUCCUACCCUCUACAGCCUUAUGACGAAAUGCUGGGCCUAUGACCCCAGCAGGCGGCCCAGGUUUACUGAACUUAAAGCUCAGCUCAGCACAAUCCUGGAGGAAGAGAA
rnacentral:sRNA from 1 species